GAUGAACGUUGGCGGCGUGCCUAAUACAUGCAAGUCGAACGAAGACUGUAGUAAUACUGUCUUAGUGGCGAACGGGUGAGUAACGCGUGGGUGACCUGCCCCGAAGUGUGGGAUAACAGUCCGAAAGGAUUGCUAAUACUGCAUAAUAUCCAAGAGAUUAGACGCUUUCGGAUUAAAGGAGUAAUUCGCUUCGGGAGGGGCCCGCGUCCCAUCAGCUAGUUGGUAAGGUAAUGGCUUACCAAGGCGAUGACGGGUAGGGGACCUGAGAGGGUGGCCCCCCACAAUGGAACUGAAACACGGUCCAUACACCUACGGGUGGCAGCAGUAGGGAAUAUUAGUAAUGGGCGAAAGCCUGAACUAGCAACGCCGCGUGUGCGAAGAAGGCCUUCGGGUCGUAAAGCACUUUUUGAGAGGAUGAGGAAGGACGGUACUCUCAGAAUAAGUACUCGGCUAACUACGUG
rnacentral:rRNA from 1 species